UUUUUUUUUUUUUUUCUGCUGAAAGCACUCUUUCUCCUGAAAAAUGCUCCAGGAUGCAAGUUCAGAGUGACACAUUCUCUUAGUAUCAUGAGGAAUACGGUUAAUGGGAAAUGACUUCAGAUUACUGCCUCUGCUAGUAAUCCUGUGAUGCCAUCGCAAAACAAAAAGCACAUGACUACUCGUAAGCCUGCAGUACCUGAAAAAGAAAUUGGAUUUGACUCAGAAAAUCAGACUAUACAGUUAACUGCUCUGAUCCAAUAAUGCGGCGCUGCAGAAUGGCCUCAUAGCUCUGGGAUACAGAGAGGAGGGAGGGCAAGCCGAGAGAAUGAGCACUGGGGAGGCAGCUGCCCAGCUCUCCAGACACACAAGCCAAUGAAAAAUUCAUAAGGAGAUGUUUUAUAGCCAAUGUCUAAUCUACUGCUGGGUCACAAGCUGAACGGAGCCAAUCAAUAGUAUUCAUCAUCCUGAAAGGAACUAGUGAUUGCAUGUUUAUGAGAACUGGGAGAUUUUCCAAGCCAAGGGCAGUUUCUGGUUAUGUGGUAUGUGUCACCCUUAAAAAUAUAGAACUUAUUUUGAAAAUGGAACUCAAGACCUUUAAAAAAAAAAAUGAUGCAGAGAGGAGGGGCAGAGGUGCUUUUUAAAUCUAGGGGGAAAAAAUGUUUGAAUUCUUAAGUCAACCCAAGGACUAGUUUUUUUGUUUGUUUGUUUGUUUUUUUAAGUGAAAUUUCUAUUAGUUAUCCAAAUGUUUGCCUUACAAUGAUACAUAGAAUUAUUUUUCUUUUUUUUUUUUUUCCCAAGGACUAGUUUUUAAAUUGAAUCUACUUUGUUUCAAUCUUUGGCAGCCAUUUUUUGUACAGGAUUUUUUUUUCAUUUAGCUCUAGAAUUCUUUAACACUUUAGUAUAUGUAUCAAACUGUUCCAAAUACAAAUGGAACUGGACCAGAAUAAAAUCAUAGAAAGAAAGAUACAUGGAGUCAACUUUGUCAUUAUACAUCACUAAGUUCCAGGUUGGUUUGAUUUUUGAAAACCUUUUAAAGAUCUUAGAAACUUCACCUUGAGUUUGAGUGUUUGUUUUUUGCACAGGCAAUAAUUUAAAGCAAAGGGAGGUAGAAACAGCAAGAUGAGUUUUAAUGGUCUUAAGCUCAGAGGUCUGCUGAGGAUUCCAGGGGAAUCCACACCACAGUCUGGUUAGAUGAGAAAAGCUCUAGAAAACCAGGGCUUCCAGGUGUGGCUAAAUUAGGGCCCUCCCUAGGCCUUCAAACAGAUGCCGUCGAACGCCGUCUCUCCCACCCUCACACAAAAACUGUUUUUGAACAGGUGAAUUAAAUACCAAGAGCUCACGAAUGAAAAGUCUUGGAAAAUCAACUUGUGAGGAACUUUCGUGAAGGUCCCUUCACUGCUUUCACCAGCGUGUGAGCUCCUCUGUGCCAUCACAGUGGACGAUACUUUUGUACACAUGGCGAGGGGGUGAAGCCCAUCGGCCACGCAGCCAGGACGCCUGGGUUCAAAUCUCCUGUGACUUGAGGAAUUUGGGCCCAUCCCACGAGCACGCAGACUUGUGGCUGCCCCAGACUUCCUGGUCGGACAAGAUCACUCAACACAGGUGGCAGGGUAACGCCCUCUUGGCUACUUACCUAAUCUGCUCCAAACAGGUGAGACGCCCGGGAUUUGGGGUGAAGGGGCAGGAAAGGUUGUUUUCACCCAGACCUGCUCAGCCCACCUGUCCCAGUGUUUCCACGUUAUCAAAUGUUUUCUAGUUCCCAUGGCAACCGAAUCACAGAGCCAGGAUUUGUUAUUGUUCCAGGGGAAAAAGGGAAGGGCCGCAGUGCAAGGGCUGACGUCCGAGCACCGUCCACCAGCCAGGCAGCUGAGUCACCACCACGGUCUGGUGCGUCCAUGGAGUCACCUCCCUGUGGUCUGAGGCUCCCACUGGCCCUCCCUCUUUGGCAAGAGGCCGAUCCCCAAUCUGCGCCUGUCAGCAAGUGUGGGUGCCUGGGUCCAGGGGUGCUGAGUCCUGCCCUGGGCACUGUGGGGGGGCUAGCGGGGCAGAGAGGGAAUUUCCUGCCGGAGCCAGGACCUGCCUUCAGGGAGCGGGAGCUCAAGGGGCUGGGGACACAUUCCUUGUCCUUUCAGAGCCUGUGUGCACUCACGGAUGGCUUCUAGGGUCCCCUAGCCAUUGGCUUACAGUACGACCUCAGCCCAAUCACCUGGGCUCUCUGAGCCUCGGUCUCUUUAGGUACAUGGUGGGGAAACCGGCCCUUUCUCAUCAGCUCGUCGGGAGAGAAAUGAGAUCGUGCCUAUAAUGCGCCCCACGGCAGCCCAGUUUCCACAAAGCGCUCCUAAGCCUGCACUUGUGGCCAUUGCUGAUUGGCCAGAUACUGGGCCCAUCUCAGGACCACCUGGAAGGUGAGGCAGGGGGAACUCCCCUGCUCCCUGAACACAUGUGCCACCCACCCUUGGGCAGCCACCCCGCAAACCACCCCCACCCACCACCACCAGGACCAAAAUAAGAAGCUUCAAUCGUUCUGACCCAGUAGGGAACAGAAUGAGAAGGUCAAUGCGUCAGCCAGAGGGGGUGGGUCAGCAAGGGUUUGGGAUCAGAGCAGGGCCCCUGAAGCGGGCGUCCCGGAGAGGUCCUGCUCUGGACGCCCAGAUCCGCCCCCGCUGCUAAGGACGCCCUUGCUCUAAGGCCAUGCUGGCCGGGCGCCUUCUGAUGACAGCCUGGUUUUCCGGAGAGAAUUCCCACCCGUGAGAGGGUGCCGGUGGGUGAACACGGCUCUGGUGCCCGCCGGACCGUCCUGGGGGGUGGCUGAAUCCGGACUGCAGCGGUUGUGCCCGGUUGUUGUGUGAGUCACCCCGAAGCGCAGCAGCUCAGAGCAUCUAACCAACACAGCUUUCUAGCUUACAAGGUGGAAACCCGGCCCCCGGGAUGGGAUGCCCGCAGAAAGGAACGACCCCCAGAAAGGAGUCCAGCCUUCCCCUAGGGGAGCCCCGUAGACACCCAUUCUGCAGAGUCAUCCAACAGACCCCCAGCACGUUCCACGCUGACCUCUGCCAGACGCCGUAGCCAGGCCAGCUGACCAGCGGCCUCCCUGGGGCUGGCCCCACGCGUGCUUUGCAGAUGGAAUUGAGAGCCACAAGUGAGUCAUGGCAUGAAUUGAGGAGGUGGGACAAGCAUUCCUGAUAAUUUGACAGAAGAGAGUCAUAUAUGACAGUCCCUGGUGGGGAGUAAGAGUGAGUGUUAUUUCACGAGUCUCGUGUGAACGUGUGUGUGUGCGUGUAAUGUAUGGACACACGCCGCGUGGAUACAGCAGUAGAAAGAUGGCACAUUCUGAUUGUGUCAUCUGUGGGCAUUUAAUAAAGGAACUGUUUACAAAGACGUGGGCAGGGUGUAGGGAACUCACCAGAGCUGGGGCAGGGCCAGGUCAAGGAACUGCGGGGCUUAGUUAUCAGCCUCAGCCUUGAAAGCUUGAAGGCAGAAGGUGUUUCCAGAACUUGGAGACGGAGAGUCAUGUGGGGAGAGCUCGGACAGGAGCUGUGGUCAUCAGCAGAGAGAGGAAGCCAGCCAGCCUGGGGCCAGCCGAUGGGGCAUAGAUACUUACUCCCGCUCCUCCCUCUCCCUCCCGACUCCUGCCCGACUGCCCACAAGCUGAGUGUGGCAAAGCCUGGGGCCGGAGCCAAGGACCCCUGUCCAUAUGUGGAGAAGACCAGCGAUACUGCGUGCACGGGAUGCCGUGUAAAAUGCACAGUGCUUCUCUCUGCGAUUCUCGCUUAAUGAAGUCUUAAAACCCUGGAAGGGUGUGCCUGACACUGACAUGACUGCCAGAAAGAGGCAGAACGUUUCGGAAUGGCCCCAGGUCAGGGCUUCGGGUGGCAGCUAGUACCCAUAGGAAGGCGUUGUCCGGCUUUCCCUGGCAACCAGGAGCGCACCCAUUCUCCGGAUGUGACCUUCCCGCCAGCCCAGAGGUGACCAGCAGUGGGGCUGAGCGCAGCCCACAGUGUUCCCAGGCGGGGGCUGAGGCCACAGAGGAAGAAGGGCAGGAGGGGAAUGGGGGGGCGAGAGGAACCAAGGGGCUGUGGCCGGGACUCCCACACGGGGCAGUUGCCUCAGCUCCUCAAGGACAAAGGGCAGAGUUCUAUUUCCAGCUCCCCGUGGGAGCGGGAGACGGCCUCCUCGCUUUCCACACACUUGCGGUCGGCUCACUAAUCCUGGGCUACGUGUGGUUGUUCUGGACUCACACAAAAGCGUCUCUGAGCCUCUUUGCCACGGCCCCCACCACUGCCGAGCCCAUUGCGGCGGGUCACAUGCUGGCGACUCCACGCUGUCCUGGCCACGUGAGACCAGGCUCCAAGGCCGAGCCUCCUGAGCCCCAGAGCAUCGGCCACGAGCCCUCUCAGCACCCACCUUCAGGGGCUCCAUUCCCAGCAGACGCUUCUAGAAGGGAAAUCACUUCCUCUGAUGACUCAAACAAACAAACAAACAUGCUCCUGAUAACAGAGCCCCCUCUUUUUGCCCCCGCUGCCUCCUCAGGCAGUGGAAACAACUCUGCCUCCGCAGACCUGGGGCCUCGGGCUCUCGCAUCCACCCGGAGGCGGAGGUGUUUACCUGGUAACAGGGUGGACGGCAUGUUGCCCUUUGAACGCUCCUCCUGCAGAGUUCCCUCGUGUCUCUCUGCCACAUUCCUGGUACUGGUCAGGGCCGGGCCAGAGUCUCACGGACACAGGGAAAGGUGGUUCCUGCCCGUACCCGUGGAACCUUGGCCCAGAUCUGGGUGUUAGAUCCCCAAAACGCCCCAAGGAAAUGGCUCGCCCAUGUCAUCCCUCUUAAGUCAACUGAACAGGAAGCGGCUCCCUGACUGCUUCAUCAGUCUUACCCAGGGCAUCAAUAAACCGUAAGUCAGAGGGAAAGAAAAGCGAAGCCCGAGAGAAUCAGGUCUUCCCAGCGGUGUGCCCGCCGGCUUGGAACAUGGCAGGUGGGAACCAGCGCCAGAGGCCGUGCCUGCUUGGCAGCCCUGCCUGGCUUCUCUUAAUGCUUCCUGGCUCUGCCUUGAUCCACGUGGGCCUCACUCCCUUCUCAGCGCCUUGCACUUCCCGCCACACUUGGGCAGGGGCGACCAUCUCUCGACAACUUGAGAGGCAGCAGCUCUGUCUUGUUCAUCUCGUGCUGGCCCAGAUUUCCGUGCCCGUGCCUGGGCUGUCAGCACGCACCAUGACAUCUGUCUAGGGCUGGAGGAAUGCAUUUAACAUUCGUUACAGCUAAAUUUUUCAACGUGGAAAAAAACAAUGAGGAGCUAGCCAUGGCUUUCCAAACUUUGAUGUUUGGGGAGUGAAAACCCUGACUCCAAAAAAAAAAAAAAAAAUCGAACAUAAGCC